UCGAUUUGUUUACAUACGCGUACGGGAUGCGUACGGGGCAAGUUCGGACUCAUUUCUUUUAAACUUUUCGCACGUACUCUCUUAUCAGUAAAGCAUGCUAUCUACUGUAAGGGUGGUAAGCUACGGCCGAGCAAGAUACAGAAAUCGGACACCACUUGCUACGAGUGGGCUCAUAACAAAUUCUUCAACAAAUUUGAAGCGCGGGGCUAGACAACGACAUCCGUGGCACGCACCUUUACCGGUUUCCCCAAUUUCUUGGCUUCACGGAUGACAUCGACAUCAUCGGCAGGACAACAGCGAAGGUGUAUGAGACGUACACCCGACUCAAACGCGAAGCAGCAAGUAUUGGAUUGAGAAACAAUGCGACGAAUAGGAAGAACCUGCUUGCCGGAGACUCAGACCAUCUGGGAAGCGGUGUAUUAGUUGACGGCGACAAUCUUGAGGUAGUAAAGGAGUUCUGCUAUCUCGGGACGGUCGUUACUUCGGACAACGACAUCAGCAGCGACAUCCGGAGAUGUAUUGUGCAGGUGAAUCGUGUAUGCUAUGGGCUUCACCGACCGGUGGUUCUCUAUGGACACGAGUCCUGGACAAUCGGAGCGGAGGAUGCAAACGCUCUGUGUUUGAGCGACGCAUCCUCUGGUCCAUCUUUGUCGAUGUGUUCGAGUAUGGAGCGUGGAGGAGAGGGAUGAACCACGAGCUUGCCGAACUGAAUGGCGAACCAAGCAUCCCAACGGUGGCGAAGGCUGGGACAUGUGAUGAGGAUGCCGCCCUCAUGCCCCAUGAAGAAGAUGUUCGACAGCGAUUCUCAGUUCGGGAUGAGACGCAGAGGAGCACAGCCGGAACUCGAUGACUGGAUCAGAUGAAGCGAGACCUGUCUUAGAUCGGAUGUCUACAUGGAUGGGGGGCUGCAGCCAGGAACCGAGCAUUCUGGAGAAUGAUUGUUGACCGGUCCAUGUCACAGCGACGUGCUCUAUCGUGAGCAAGCCAAUAAGAGAGAUAGAGAGCUACGGCCGAACAGGAUACAGCAAUCGGACACCAUUUGCUACGAAGGCGCUCAUAAACACCUGCUACUCCACAAGAUGCUUACCAAGUUUGCUAUACUUUAACAACGGUAAUAGAACGAGAAGAAAAAGAAAACUUGCUGCAGAACUGACUUAAUGUUCAGCAACAAAAAGUACGAGAUCCGGCCAAUGAGAGACAUCAGAGUUUCGAGUGGUUGCGAGUAGCUGCGACUGUCCGCACUCAGCACCGGCUGCCCGUCGACACCGGGCGUACCGUCGAAGUUCGUCUCGAGCAGCGCUUCCGAUUUG